rnacentral:rRNA from 1 species
GAUGAACGCUGGCGGCGUGCCUAAUACAUGCAAGUCGAGCGAACGGACGAGAAGCUUGCUUCUCUGAUGUUAGCGGCGGACGGGUGAGUAACACGUGGAUAACCUACCUAUAAGACUGGGAUAACUUCGGGAAACCGGAGCUAAUACCGGAUGAUAUUUUGAACCGCAUGGUUCAAAAGUGAAAGACGGUCUUGCUGUCACUUAUAGAUGGAUCCGCGCUGCAUUAGCUAGUUGGUAAGGUAACAGCUUACCAAGGCAACGAUGCAUAGCCGACCUGAGAGGGUGAUCGGCCACACUGGAACUGAGACACGGUCCAGACUCCUACGGGAGGCAGCAGUAGGGAAUCUUCCACAAUGGGCGAAAGCCUGACGGAGCAACGCCGCGUGAGUGAUGAAGGUCUUCGGAUCGUAAAACUCUGUUAUUAGGGAAGAACAUAUGUGUAAGUAACUGUGCACAUCUUGACGGUACCUAAUCAGAAAGCCACGGCUAACUACGUG